rnacentral:rRNA from 1 species
AGUUUGGACUCUGGCUCAGAUUGAACGCUGGCGUGGAUGCUUUACACGAUGCAAGACGAAACGGCAGCACGGACUUCGGUCUGGUGGCGAGUGGCGAACGGGUGAGUAAUGUAUCGGAACGUGCCCAGUAGUGGGGAUAAUUACGCGAAAGUGGCUAAUACCGCAUAAUGGCCCUUCGGGGAAAGCGGGGACCUUCGGGCCUUCGCACUAUUAGAGCGGCCGAUAUCGGAUUAGCUAGUUAUGGGGUAACGGCUCAACAAGGCGACGAUCCGUAGCUGGUUUGAGGACGACCAGCCACACUGGGACUGAGACACGGCCCAGACUCCUACGGGAGGCAGCGCAGAAUUUGGACAAUGGGGGAAACCCUGAUCCAGCCAUCCCGCGUGUGCGAUGAAGGCCUUCGGGUUGUAAAGCACUUUUUGGCAGGAAAGAAACGGCACGGGAUAAUACCCCGUGCAACUGACGGUACCUGCAGAAUAAGCACCGGCUAACUACGUGCCAGCAGCCGCGGUAAUAAUGUAGGUGCAAGCGUUAAUCGGAAUUACUGGCGUAAAGCGUGCGCAGGCGGUUCGGAAAGAAAGCAGUGGGAAACUUGUGAGCUUAACUUUGGAACUGCAUUUUUAACUACCGAGCUGAGAGUGCGUCGAGGAGGUGGAAUUCCGCGUGUAGCAGUGAAUGUGAUAUGGGGUGAGGAACACCGAUGGCGAAGGCAGCCUCCGGAUAACACUGACGCUCAUGCACGAAAGCGUGGGGAGCAAACAGGAUUAGAUACCCUGUGUGUCCAAUACGCCCUAAAAAACGAUGUCAACCGUCGCUGGGGCCUUCGGGCCCCGGUAGCGCAGCUAACGCGUGAAGUUGACCGCCUGGGGGAGCAAGGUCGCAAGAUUAAAAUCCUAAAGGAAUUGACGGGACCCGCACAAGCGUGGAUGAUGUGGAUUGAAUUCCGAUGCAACGCGAAAAAACCCACCUACCCUUUUGAUAUUAUGUCUGAAUCCUGAAGAGAUUUGGGGGAGUGUCGCAAGAGAACCGGAACACAGGUGCUGGUAAUGGCCACGUCAGCUCGUGUCGAGAUGUUGGGUUAAGUCCCGCAACGAGCGCAACCCUUUUGUCAUUAGCAGCUGCUGAAGGAAAGGGCACUCUAAUGAGAUCUGCUGCGACAAAACCGGAGGAAGGUGGGGAUGACGUCAAGUCCUCAUGGCCCUUGGCGGUAGGGCUUCACACGUCAUACAAUGGUCGGGACAGAGGGUCGCCAACCCGCGAGGGGGAGCUAAUCCCAGAAACCCGAUCGUAGUCCGGAUCGCAGUCUGCAACUCGAUUCUGCGAAGUCGGAAUCGCUAGUAAUCGGUGAUCAGCAUGCACGCAGGAAUACGUUCCCGGGCCCUGCACACACCGCCCGUCACACCAUGGGAGUGGGUUUUACCAGAAGUAGUUAGCUCAACCGUAAGGAGGGCGAUUACCACGGUAGGAUUCAGACCGAGGGUGAAGUCGUAACAGUUGCAG